GUUGGGUAGGGGAGCGUUCUGUAAGCCUGCGAAGGUGGCCUGUGAGGGUUGCUGGAGGUAUCAGAAGUGCGAAUGCUGACAUAAGUAACGAUAAAGCGGGUGAAAAGCCCGCUCGCCGGAAGACCAAGGGUUCCUGUCCAACGUUAAUCGGGGCAGGGUGAGUCGACCCCUAAGGCGAGGCCGAAAGGCGUAGUCGAUGGGAAACGGGUUAAUAUUCCCGUACUUGGUGUUACUGCGAAGGGGGGACGGAGAAGGCUAUGUUGGCCGGGCGACGGUUGUCCCGGUUUAAGCGUGUAGGUGUGUGUUCCAGGUAAAUCCGGUUCACUUUAACACUGAGGCGUGAUGACGAGGCACUACGGUGCUGAAGCAACAAAUGCCCUGCUUCCAGGAAAAGCCUCUAAGCAUCAGGUAACAUCAAAUCGUACCCCAAACCGACACAGGUGGUCAGGUAGAGAAUACCAAGGCGCUUGAGAGAACUCGGGUGAAGGAACUAGGCAAAAUGGUGCCGUAACUUCGGGAGAAGGCACGCUGACACGUAGGUGAAGUGAUUUACUCAUGGAGCUGAAGUCAGUCGAAGAUACCAGCUGGCUGCAACUGUUUAUUAAAAACACAGCACUGUGCAAACACGAAAGUGGACGUAUACGGUGUGACGCCUGCCCGGUGCCGGAAGGUUAAUUGAUGGGGUCAGCGCAAGCGAAGCUCCUGAUCGAAGCCCCGGUAAACGGCGGCCGUAACUAUAACGGUCCUAAGGUAGCGAAAUUCCUUGUCGGGUAAGUUCCGACCUGCACGAAUGGCGUAAUGAUGGCCAGGCUGUCUCCACCCGAGACUCAGUGAAAUUGAACUCGCUGUGAAGAUGCAGUGUACCCGCGGCAAGACGGAAAGACCCCGUGAACCUUUACUAUAGCUUGACACUGAACAUUGAGCCUUGAUGUGUAGGAUAGGUGGGAGGCUUUGAAGUGUGGACGCCAGUCUGCAUGGAGCCGGCCUUGAAAUACCACCCUUUAAUGUUUGAUGUUCUAACGUGGACCCGUGAUCCGGGUUGCGGACAGUGUCUGGUGGGUAGUUUGACUGGGGCGGUCUCCUCCUAAAGAGUAACGGAGGAGCACGAAGGUUGGCUAAUCCUGGUCGGACAUCAGGAGGUUAGUGCAAUGGCAUAAGCCAGCUUGACUGCGAGCGUGACGGCGCGAGCAGGUGCGAAAGCAGGUCAUAGUGAUCCGGUGGUUCUGAAUGGAAGGGCCAUCGCUCAACGGAUAAAAGGUACUCCGGGGAUAACAGGCUGAUACCGCCCAAGAGUUCAUAUCGACGGCGGUGUUUGGCACCUCGAUGUCGGCUCAUCACAUCCUGGGGCUGAAGUAGGUCCCAAGGGUAUGGCUGUUCGCCAUUUAAAGUGGUACGCGAGCUGGGUUUAGAACGUCGUGAGACAGUUCGGUCCCUAUCUGCCGUGGGCGCUGGAGAACUGAGGGGGGCUGCUCCUAGUACGAGAGGACCGGAGUGGACGCAUCACUGGUGUUCGGGUUGUCAUGCCAAUGGCACUGCCCGGUAGCUAAAUGCGGAAGAGAUAAGUGCUGAAAGCAUCUAAGCACGAAACUUGCCCCGAGAUGAGUUCUCCCUGAGACUUUAGGUCUCCUGAAGGAACGUUGAAGACGACGACGUUGAUAGGCCGGGUGUGUAAGCGCAGCGAUGCGUUGAGCUAACCGGUACUAAUGAACCGUGAGGCUUAACCUUACA
rnacentral:rRNA from 1 species